GACGAACCGUGCGAACGUUAUUCGGAAUCAUUGGGCUUAAAGGGCGCGUAGGCGGCGGUGUAAGUUGGAGGUGAAAUCCCAUCGGCUCAACCGUGGAAUUGCUCCCAGUACUGCAUCGCUCGAGGGGGAUAGGGGUUUGCGGAACUACCGGUGGAGCGGUGAAAUGUGUUGAUAUCGGUGGGAACGCCAGUGGCGAAAGCGGCAAACUUGACCCUUCCUGACGCUGAGGCGCGAAAGCUAGGGGAGCAAACGGG
rnacentral:rRNA from 1 species